UCUCUCUCUCUCUCUCUCUCUCUCUCUGUGUGUGUGUGUGUGUGUGAGAGAGAGAGAGAGAGAGAGAGGGAGG